UGACAUUUCUAAUUUUAAGGGGAUUAAAAUUUGAAGGUUAAAUCUCAACCACCUGUCAAUUAUCCCAUUCAGAUUAGUCUUAAGGUGCGUUUGGUUCGAGUUAUCCCGACAGGAUUAUAGGUAAUUCUGCCAGGAUUACUGCGUUUGGUUCACCAGCUAUGUAAUCUAGUCGUUAAUGUAGCAUUACAAAUCGAGCAGGAUUACACAGAAAAUAUUAAUGAGAGUGAGGUCGUGUAUCUUGUAUUACUGAAAAUCGGUAAUACUAAAUAUUAUGUAAAAUGACAAUUUUAUCCUCCAACACUCCCAAACCCAUUGUUUUCAUCUCUCUCUCACCCUCCCCCCUCUCUCUCGCACGCCACUCUCUCUCGCUCUCUCUCUCGCACGCCGCUCUCUCUCGCUCUCUAUCUCUUUCUCUCUCUCUCUUUUGCACGAACACCUAUUUAUUCUUUUAUGCAUAAUGAUCUUUUUUUCUAUUAUUUUUUUAUGGGUUGAAAUUAAUUUUUUGCAACGUUAAUUUUUUUUCAUGUUUGUCCUUUUAUUUUAUUACUUAUUAAUAUAAUUAAUUUACUAGUGCAAAUAUUAUUUUAGUAAAAAAUAAUAUUCAAAUGACCACAAUAAGGAUAAUUUGGAAAAAAACUAUAUUUUUAUAUCAGGAUUACUAAAUUUUAUAGACUGAAUCAAACAUAAUAAUACUAUAAACACUAUAAUCCAGUAUUACAUUACUACACUAAACCAAACGCGCUAAUACAGCAUCAGUAGUAAUCUCACGCCGAAAUUCAAAAUACCUGGAUAUGUCGAGAUACUCUGUAAUAUUAUAUAACUCGAACCAAACGCGCCCUUAUUUCACUGUUCAUUCUAUGGUUAACCACUUAUAGA
rnacentral:lncRNA from 1 species